rnacentral:rRNA from 1 species
UACGAAGGGGGCGAGCGUUGUUCGGAAUUACUGGGCGUAAAGGGCGCGUAGGCGGCGAUCCUAGUCAGAUGUGAAAGUCCUGGGCUUAACCUGGGGACUGCAUUUGAUACUGGAUUGCUUGAAUUCGGGAGAGGAUAGCGGAAUUCCCAGUGUAGAGGUGAAAUUCGUAGAUAUUUGGGGAAGAACACCGGUGGCGAAGGCGGGCUAUCUGGACCGACAUUGACGCUGAGGCGCGAAAAGCGUGGGGGAGCAAACAGG